GUAUAGAUUUAUGCAGACUAGGGGGUGGAUAAAAGUCUCCAUUGGUCCACUGCUUCUCAACCCACUGCCCUUUUCUAGCCAAUCAAUAAAGUGGCGUCACUGACUGUCUACAAGUAAACAUGGCAUUUUGGCACACAUUUUGUAGAUUACUUUGUUAAGGGAGUGAGGAAGUUUACUUUAUUUUAUUACAACUUAUGUAGUUGGCAACAAUUUCUAAAUGUUUAGACAUUUAAAAAAAUGGCAUAGAUUUAUAGAUUAUUUGUAUAAAAAAAACAGGCCAUGGACAGAAGCUACCACUGAGGACUAUUUUUGACACAGAAAAAAAUUCUUUACAAUGUUACAGCUGUGACAGAUGGGAUUAAAUGAGGUGUGGAGUUUUCACCACUGAAAUAUGUCACAUAGGAGAUUUUGUUCUGGAAUACAGGGGUGAACUAAGUUCUGAGGGUCAUGAGUGAAAUAAACCCUACAGUGAUGCUGAAAACACAUUCUUAUUUGAUUUUCAGUGGCAUGGCAAAUUACUGGUGUCAACGCCUGCUGCAUCCACAUCGAAAACACCCUCACUACUGUUACCAUGUUCUCUAACCACCCCUGAGAUGCCAUCAUCUCCAGCACCCUUUGUUGCAUUGCCAUCAUCUCCUGCACCCUGUGUUGCAUUUCCAUCAUCUCCUGCACCCUGUGUUGCAUUUCCAUCAUCUCCAGCACCCUGUGUUGCAUUUCCAUCAUCUCCAGCACCCUUUGUUGCAUUGCCAUCAUCUCCAGCACCCUGUGUUGCAUUGCCAUCAUCUCCAGCACCCUGUGUUGCAUUGCCAUCAUCUCCAGCACCCUGUGUUGCAUUUCCAUCAUCUCCAGCACCCUGUGUUGCAUUGCCAUCAUCUCCAGCACCCUGUGUUGCAUUGCCAUCAUCUCCAGCACCCUGUGUUGCAUUGCCAUCAUCUCCAGCACCCUGUGUUGCAUUGCCAUCACCUCCAGCACCCUGUGUUGGAUCCACUGAGAUGCCCUCAUCUCCAGCACCCUAUGUUGUGUUGCCCUUAUCUUCAUCUCCCAGUGUUGCAUCACUCUCAUCUUCAUCUCCCAGCACUCUGUGUUGCAUCCACUGAAAUGCCAUCAUCUACAGCAUUGCCCUCAUCUUCAUCUCCCAGUUUUGCGUCACUCUCAUCUUCAUCUCCCAGCACCCUCUGUUGCAUCCACUGAAAUGCCAUCAUCUACAGCACUGCCCUCAUCUUCAUCUCCCAGUGUUGCAUCGCCAUCAUCUCCAGCACCCUGUGUUGCAUUGCCAUCAUCUCCAGCACCCUGUGUUGCAUUGCCAUCAUCUCCAGCACCCUGUGUUGCAUUGCCAUCACCUCCAGCACCCUGUGUUGCAUUGCCAUCACCUCCAGCACCCUGUGUUGGAUCCACUGAGAUGCCCUCAUCUCCAGCACCCUAUGUUGUGUUGCCCUUAUCUUCAUCUCCCAGUGUUGCAUCACUCUCAUCUUCAUCUCCCAGCACUCUGUGUUGCAUCCACUGAAAUGCCAUCAUCUACAGCAUUGCCCUCAUCUUCAUCUCCCAGUUUUGCGUCACUCUCAUCUUCAUCUCCCAGCACCCUCUGUUGCAUCCACUGAAAUGCCAUCAUCUACAGCACUGCCCUCAUCUUCAUCUCCCAGUGUUGCAUCGCCAUCACCUCCAGCACCCUGUGUUGCAUUGCCCUUACCAGUAAAACUUUUGAUAAGUCCACCAAGAGAAUGUGCUGCAAGAUUGUCAGCUGCAACACAGUAAACAAUUCCUUUAAUGUUUUUUUCCAGCACUGGGUAUGAAAACUCCUUCCUGUUCUAAGAUCUUUCAGAAGUGGCUCUAAAAUAGCUCCAUUACCAAAUCUUUAACAUCUACAACUUUGCAGAGAAUACUUAAAUGUAUCGCAGUUAGUGUAGAGUGUACUUCAGGUGGUGCAUUUGCGAGAACUCAAUACACUGCUGUGAUUUUUUAUUUCUUCUGUGAUGUCCCUAGUGGGUUGCAAACUUCAAAAUCGUUGAUAUAAAGAGUUAAAGAAAUUCUUGGUUUUUCAGAGAAAAAUUAAUUGUUCUUGAAAUGUGUCCCAUUUUGAUAGGAUUCAUACUGUGUAGAUGUGCUGGAUUGUAUUUUUGAAGCAGCAUUUGCAUAAUCUUUAUUGGUCAAUAUCUGCUGUAACGUCUGAAAAAUGGGCACAUAUAGAAAGCUGAGCUUUUCUUAGACAUUGAGGAUGUAUUCCACAGGCUCUAUGAUAUCAAACUGUUCCUUGAAAUAUUUUUUUCUCUUAAAUGAAACCAAACCAAAGGGCCCAUUUCCUCCUAGUUCAUUGCUUAAAGGAUGUGACUUUGUGAAUUGCACACCAAUUCCACCAAUUCUGCAACUACAUCCUCCUCAACACAGCUGUGCUUUUCUAAACUUCUAUGAAGAACUUGUUGGAAAACAGGAAGAUGUGCAAAGUUAAGCUCUUCCACCAGCUCAUCAUUGCAUUUGCUAGAAACAAUGUAAACACUUUCUAAUUUUAAAAGAAGUGAACCAAUUGUUCUAAUAAUUUCUUCUGAGGCAUUUAUUGUUUGACUUGGCCCACUGUCACAAAUCAGUUUCAUUUUGUAAAGUGUGAUGUUUUCCAAUUAUAUCUGGCUUAAAAUCCUCAUGUGAAUGGGGAUUGUGCUUCCAGCUUUUGUGAGUAAAAAAUGUCCCAUAUAUCUUUGUCUUAAAUGCACAUCCAGUAAACUCACAAUCUAUGGUUUUGUGACUCUUCAAA